AGCCCUGGAAACGGGGUCUAAUACCGGAUAACACUGCGGAUCGCAUGGUCUGCGGUUGAAAGCUCCGGCGGUGAAGGAUGAGCCCGCGGCCUAUCAGCUUGUUGGUGGGGUGAUGGCCUACCAAGGCGACGACGGGUAGCCGGCCUGAGAGGGCGACCGGCCACACUGGGACUGAGACACGGCCCAGACUCCUACGGGAGGCAGCAGUGGGGAAUAUUGCACAAUGGGCGAAAGCCUGAUGCAGCGACGCCGCGUGAGGGAUGACGGCCUUCGGGUUGUAAACCUCUUUCAGCAGGGAAGAAGCGAAAGUGACGGUACCUGCAGAAGAAGCGCCGGCUAACUACGUGCCAGCAGCCGCGGUAAUACGUAGGGCGCAAGCGUUGUCCGGAAUUAUUGGGCGUAAAGAGCUCGUAGGCGGCUUGUCACGUCGGAUGUGAAAGCCCGGGGCUUAACCCCGGGUCUGCAUUCGAUACGGGCAGGCUAGAGUGUGGUAGGGGAGAUCGGAAUUCCUGGUGUAGCGGUGAAAUGCGCAGAUAUCAGGAGGAACACCGGUGGCGAAGGCGGAUCUCUGGGCCAUUACUGACGCUGAGGAGCGAAAGCGUGGGGAGCGAACAGGAUUAGAUACCCUGGUAGUCCACGCCGUAAACGUUGGGAACUAGGUGUUGGCGACAUUCCACGUCGUCGGUGCCGCAGCUAACGCAUUAAGUUCCCCGCCUGGGGAGUACGGCCGCAA
rnacentral:rRNA from 1 species